AGCUUGGCACAGUGGCAGUAUCGUAGCCAAUGAGGUUUAUCCGUGGCGCCAUAAUUGCUAAUUGAAAACUUUUCCCAAUACCCCGCCUUCAUGACUUGCAAUGUAGUCGGCACUGGCAAUUUCUGAGUCUCUACGGAGG
ensembl:snRNA U4 U4 spliceosomal RNA